GACGAACGCUGGCGGCGUGCUUAACACAUGCAAGUCGAACGGAAAGGCCCUGCUUUUGUGGGGUGCUCGAGUGGCGAACGGGUGAGUAACACGUGAGUAACCUGCCCUUGACUUUGGGAUAACUUCAGGAAACUGGGGCUAAUACCGGAUAGGAGCUCCUGCUGCAUGGUGGGGGUUGGAAAGUUUCGGCGGUUGGGGAUGGACUCGCGGCUUAUCAGCUUGUUGGUGGGGUAGUGGCUUACCAAGGCUUUGACGGGUAGCCGGCCUGAGAGGGUGACCGGCCACAUGGGGACUGAGAUACGGCCCAGACUCCUACGGGAGGCAGCAGUGGGGAAUAUUGCACAAUGGGCGGAGGCCUGAUGCAGCAACGCCGCGUGCGGGAUGACGGCCUUCGGGUUGUAAACCGCUUUCGCCUGUGACGAAGCGUGAGUGACGGUAAUGGGUAAAGAAGCACCGGCUAACUACGU
rnacentral:rRNA from 1 species